rnacentral:rRNA from 1 species
GUGGGGAAUCUUGCGCAAUGGGCGAAAGCCUGACGCAGCCAUGCCGCGUGAAUGAUGAAGGUCUUAGGAUUGUAAAAUUCUUUCACCGGGGACGAUAAUGACGGUACCCGGAGAAGAAGCUCCGGCUAACUUCGUGCCAGCAGCCGCGGUAAUACGAAGGGGGCUAGCGUUGCUCGGAAUUACUGGGCGUAAAGGGCGCGUAGGCGGACAGCUUAGUCAGAGGUGAAAGCCCAGGGCUCAACCUUGGAAUUGCCUUUGAUACUGACUGUCUUGAGUUUGGGAGAGGUGAGUGGAACUCCGAGUGUAGAGGUGAAAUUCGUAGAUAUUCGGAGGAACACCAGUGGCGAAGGCGGCUCACUGGCUCGAUACUGACGCUGAGGUGCGAAAGCGUGGGGAGCAAACAGGAUUAGAAACCCCAGUAGCC